rnacentral:rRNA from 1 species
GAUGAACGCUGGCGGCGUGCCUAAUACAUGCAAGUCGAGCGAACGGACGAGAAGCUUUCUUCUCUGAUGUUAGCGGCUGACGGGUGAGUAACACGUGGAUAACCUACCUAUAAGACUGGGAUAACUUCGUGAAACCGGAUCUAAUACCGGAUAAUAUUUUGAACCGCAUGGUUCAAAAGUGAAAGACGGUCUUGCUGUCACUUAUAGAUGGAGCCGCGCUGCAUUAGCUAGUUGGUAAGGUAACGGCUUACCAAGGCAACGAUGCAUAGCCGACCUGAGAGGGUGAUCGGCCACACUGGAACUGAGACACGGUCCAGACUCCUACGGGAGGCAGCAGUAGGGAAUCUUCCGCAAUGGGCGAAAGCCUGACGGAGCAACGCCGCGUGAGUGAUGAAGGUCUUCGGAUCGUAAAACUCUGUUAUUAGGGAAGAACAUAUGUGUAAGUAAAUGUGCACAUCUUGACGGUACCUAAUCAGAAAGCCACGGCUAACUACGUG